UUGUUAAGUCAGAUGUGAAAUCCCCGGGCUCAACCUGGGAACUGCAUCUGAUACUGGCAAGCUUGAGUCUCGUAGAGGGGGGUAGAAUUCCAGGUGUAGCGGUGAAAUGCGUAGAGAUCUGGAGGAAUACCGGUGGCGAAGGCGGCCCCCUGGACGAAGACUGACGCUCAGGUGCGAAAGCGUGGGGAGCAAACAGGAUUAGAUACCCUGGUAGUCCACGCCGUAAACGAUGUCGACUUGGAGGUUGUGCCCUUGAGGCGUGGCUUCCGGAGCUAACGCGUUAAGUCGACCGCCUGGGGAGUACGGCCGCAAGGUUAAAACUCAAAUGAAUUGACGGGGGCCCGCACAAGCGGUGGAGCAUGUGGUUUAAUUCGAUGCAAC
rnacentral:rRNA from 1 species